CACGUAGGGUGCGAGCGUUGUCCGGAAUUAUUGGGCGUAAAGAGCUCGUAGGCGGUGUGUCGCGUCGGCCGUGAAAACCUGCAGCUUAACUGUGGGAUUGCGGUCGAUACGGGCAUCACUGGAGUUCGGCAGGGGAGACUGGAAUUCCUGGUGUAGCGGUGAAAUGCGCAGAUAUCAGGAGGAACACCGGUGGCGAAGGCGGGUCUCUGGGCCGAUACUGACGCUGAGGAGCGAAAGCGUGGGGAGCGAACAGG
rnacentral:rRNA from 1 species